rnacentral:rRNA from 1 species
UACGGGGGGGGUAAGCGUUGUUCGGAAUUACUGGGCGUAAAGCGUGCGCAGGCGGUUUUGUAAGUUUGUCGUGAAAGCCCCAGGCUCAACCUGGGAAUUGCGAUGAAGACUGCAAGGCUUGAAUCUGGCAGAGGGGGGUAGAAUUCCACGUGUAGCAGUGAAAUGCGUAGAGAUGUGGAGGAACACCGAUGGCGAAGGCAGCCCUCUGGGUCAAGAUUGACGCUCAUGCACGAAAGCGUGGGGAGCAAACAGG